ACAUGCAAGUCGCGGGGCAGCAUGGGGGUUGCUUGCAAUCCCCGAUGGCGACCGGCGCACGGGUGAGUAACGCGUAUCCAACCUGCCCUUCACCACGGGAUAACCCGGCGAAAGUCGGACUAAUACCGUAUGUUGUCCAUUGACGGCAUCCGAUUUGGACGAAAGGCUCUGCGGUGAAGGAUGGGGAUGCGUCCGAUUAGCCAGACGGCGGGGUAACGGCCCACCGUGGCUACGAUCGGUAGGGGUUCUGAGAGGAAGGUCCCCCACACUGGAACUGAGACACGGUCCAGACUCCUACGGGAGGCAGCAGUGAGGAAUAUUGGUCAAUGGGCGUAAGCCUGAACCAGCCAAGUAGCGUGCAGGAUGACGGCCCUAUGGGUUGUAAACUGCUUUUAUGCGGGGAUAAAGUGGCCCACGUGAGGGUUUUUGCAGGUACCGCAUGAAUAAGGACCGGCUAAUUCCGUGCCAGCAGCCGCGGUAAUACGGAAGGUCCGGGCGUUAUCCGGAUUUAUUGGGUUUAAAGGGAGCGUAGGCCGCGCCUUAAGCGUGUUGUGAAAUCCGGGUGCUCAACAUCCGGCUUGCAGCGCGAACUGGGGCGCUUGAGUGCGCUGAAAGUAGGCGGAAUUCGUGGUGUAGCGGUGAAAUGCUUAGAUAUCACGAGGAACUCCGAUUGCGAAGGCAGCCUACUGUAGCGCUACUGACGCUGAUGCUCGAAAGCGUGGGUAUCGAACAGGAUUAGAUACCCUGGUAGUCCACGCGGUAAACGAUGGAUGCUCGUUGUCGGCCCCUUGGGUCGGUGACCAAGCGAAAGCGUUAAGCAUCC
rnacentral:rRNA from 1 species